GGUUUAACCCCGCCUCUUGCGUCGGCGCCUUCCUUUUCCUCCCUGUCGCCACCGAGGUCGCACGCGUGAGACUUCUCCGCCGCCUCCGCCGCAGACGCCGCCGCGUAUUGGCAAGCUUGCCAGUGUACCUGCUGGUGGGGCUGUAGCCGUCUCUGCUGCCCCAGGCUCUGCAGCCCCUGCUGCUGGUUCUGCCCCUGCUGCAGCAGAGGAGAAGAAAGAUGAGAAGAAGGAGGAGUCUGAAGAGUCAGAUGAUGACAUGGGAUUUGGCCUUUUUGAUUAAAUUCCUGCUCCCCUGCAAAUAAAGCCUUUUUACACAUCUC
rnacentral:lncRNA from 10 species